rnacentral:rRNA from 1 species
UACGUAGGAUGCAAGCGUUGUCCGGAUUUACUGGGCGUAAAGCGCGCGCAGGCGGCACAUUAAGUAAGGUGUGAAAUAUCCCGGCUCAACCGGGAGGGUGCACUUUAGACUGAUGAGCUUGAGGUCGGUAGAGGGGGGGGUGGAAUUGCUGGUGUAGCGGUGAAAUGCGCAGAUAUCAGGAGGAACACCGGUGGCGAAGGCGGCAUUCUGGACCGAUAUUGACGCUGAGGAGCGAAAGCCAGGGGAGCAAACGGG